rnacentral:sRNA from 1 species
CUCUGGACGUGUAUUUUUUCGAAUAGCGGAAGUACGGAGUGCCAAAUAAAUUGUGUUUAACAAAAAUCUUGGGAAAAAAGAGAGAAAUUCAAUUGGAAAUUAUUUUAAAAGGAAAUCAUUUCAAGAAAAGUGUUGAGAAGUGGAAAUUUAUGUUGUGCAAUUUGAAAAUGUUUGGAAAAUCUAGAGUGAAAUUCUGAAAGAAUUAAUUGAAAAGAAAAAUUGUGGAAGUGUUAAAUUUUUUUUUGGAAGCCAUUACCUCCGGAGCAAAUAAAGUGUUGAUGUAAAUUCCCCAAAAUAAUUCGAGAAGUGAGCAAAUAUUUCCGUAAACAUCAGCAACGCAUCAACGGAAAGAGAAAUUAUCCUCGAGAAAGAAUUUCAGGCGGGAGUGGUCGUCGUUCGUUCGGUUGUCAACAUUAUUUACAAACAAGCGGAAUGGUGUGAAAAUCAUCAGGCGGCCGUGUAUUGGCUUCAUGAAAAAUAUAAGCUGUUAAAAUUAAGUGCAAGAAAAACGCGGCGCAUGCG